GAUGAACGCUGGCGGCGUGCCUAACACAUGCAAGUCGAGCGAUUUACUUCGGUAAAGAGCGGCGGACGGGUGAGUAACGCGUGGGUAACCUGCCCUGUACACACGGAUAACAUACCGAAAGGUAUGCUAAUACGAGAUAAUAUGCUUUUAUCGCAUGGUAGAAGUAUCAAAGCUUUUGCGGUACAGGAUGGACCCGCGUCUGAUUAGCUAGUUGGUAAGGUAACGGCUUACCAAGGCGACGAUCAGUAGCCGACCUGAGAGGGUGGUCGGCCACAUUGGAACUGGGACACGGUCCAAACUCCGACGGGAGGCAGCAGUGGCGAAUAUUGCACAAUGGGCGAAAGCCUGAUGCAGCAACGCCGCGUGAGCGAUGAAGGCCGUCGGGUCGUAAAGCUCUGUCCUCAAGGAAGAUAAUGACGGUACUUGAGGAGGAAGCCCCGGCUAACUACGUGCCAGCAGCCGCCGUAA
rnacentral:rRNA from 1 species